AUUGGAAGGAUAAAUGAAGCUCAAAUUCAGAACCGAACACGAAUUUGUGAUCACCUACACUAGGGGAUCAUAAGGAAUUAUGUCGAGACGGAAUCAAGCACGGAAGGCUAACAGGUCAAGAAGUGGCGAGGAAACGAGUAUGAACAUGGACGCACAAGGUUGUACGGAUAACGGGCGAUUAUCACAAGGAUUAGAGAUCGAAGACCGAGUCACAAGAUAG